rnacentral:lncRNA from 1 species
UGACUUCCUUGAUCUGAGUCUGCUGCCCCAGACUGACUGUCACGGGCUGGGAAGAGGCAGAUUCCCCCCAGAUGAAGUCAGCAGCAGAGCACAAGGGCAUCAGCGCCAAAAGUGGGCCGUGCUUUGGAGUUCUUAUGAGCAUGGCAUUCCUGAGAACUUCUCUAACUGCAGCCUCGGGCAUAGAGGCUGGGCAGCAAGUGGCAGCAGCAGAGGACUCCUAGAAGCCUUCUACUUGACUCUACUUGGCCUAAAGUCAAACUCCCUCCACCAAAGACAGAGUUUAUUUCCACAUAGGAUGGAGUUAAAAAAUAUAUUCUGAGAGAGGAAGGGCUUGUGGCCCAAGAGAACACCCCAGAAAUACCACCCCUUCAUGGGAAGUGACUCUAUCUUCAAACAUAUAACCCAGCCUGGACAUCCCCGAAAGACACAUAACUUUCCAUUUCAUGCCCUUGAAAGUGAAUCUUUUGGCCUAAUAAUGAGAACAAACUCAUUUUGAAAGUGGAAAAAUUGAGAUUCAGAGCAGAAGUUUGACUAAGGUCACAAAACAGUAGGAUGCCUCACUCAGCUCCCUGUGCCUAGGUCAGAAAAGCAUCACAGGAAUAGUUGAGCUACCAGAAUCCUCUGGCCAGGCAGGAGCUGUGUGUCCCUGGGAAAUGGGGCCCUAAAGGGUUUGCUGCUUAAGAUGCCUGUGGUGAGUCAGGAAGGGGUUAGAGGAAGUUGACCAACUAGAGUGGUGAAACCUGUCCAUCACCUUCAACCUGGAGGGAGGCCAGGCUGCAGAAUGAUAUAAAGAGUGCCCUGACUCCUGCUCAGCUCAGCACUCCACCAAAGCCUCUGCCUCAGCCUUACUGUGAGUCUGUUUGUGAAGUUUCUACUGACAUGUCUUCAAGAUCACUGAUUCUUAUCUCAGCUGUGUCCAGCCUACUGAUGAACCCACCAAGGAAUCUUCAUUUCUGUCAGUUUUCUUUUUUCUAGUGCUUGACUCUUUCCUAGAGUUUCCAUUUAUCUACUUGCAUUACCCGGAUAUUCUUGUAUGUACUGCACUUUUUCCAUUACAGACAUUAUAAUACUAAUAAUAUUUAUUUUAAAUUAUCAAAUUUUUCUAGUGUCCUAAGUUUUGUCUCUUCUAUUAUUUU